CACUAGCGUAUAUUAAAGUUGUUGCAGUUAAAAAGCUCGUAGUUGGAUUUCUGACAUGGUGCGCCUGGUCCGCCCCGUAAAGGUGUGUGAGUACCGGUGUGCGCCUGUCAUCCUUCCGCAGAGCGUGUCUACCCUUCACUGGGCCGGGCAUCGCGAUGUGGAUCGUUUACUUUGAAAAAAUUAGAGUGUUCAAAGCAGGCUUACGCUGUGAAUACAUUAGCAUGGAAUAAUAAGAUAGGGCUUUGGUUCUAUUUUGUUGGUUUCUAGGACUGAAGUAAUGAUUGAUAGGGAUAGUUGGGGGUGCUAGUAUUCAACGGCCAGAGGUGAAAUUCUUGGAUUCGUUGAAGACUAACUUAUGCGAAAGCAUUCACCAAGGAUGUCUNCUUUAA
rnacentral:rRNA from 1 species